UACGUAGGGUGCAAGCGUUAAUCGGAUUUACUGGGCGUAAAGAGCGCGUAGGCGGUCUGUUAAGUGUGAGGUGAAAUCUCCAGGGCUCAACCCGGAAACUGCUUUACAUACUGGCAGACUUGAGGAGUGCAGAGGUUAGUGGAAUUCCUGGUGUAGCGGUGAAAUGCGUAGAUAUAGGAAGGAACACCAGUGGCGAAGGCGACCACCUGGACUGAUACUGACACUGAGGUGCGAAAGCGUGGGGAGCAAACAGGAUUAGAUACCCCGGUAGU
rnacentral:rRNA from 1 species